UAUUCCCUUCGAUCCCAGGUUCCCCAACCAGAACCAGACCAGGAACUGCUGGCAGAACUAUGUUGACUUCCACAGAUGUCAGAAAAUAAAGGGGGAGGAGUAUGAACCGUGUCAG